GGAAGGAUCAUUACAGAAAGUAAACGCGGGUCAAACCGCGAACUUCUAAACCUUUGACGAUCGACUCACGUUGCCUCGGCGGGUUCUCCCGCCAGAGGAUACAUCAAAACUCCUGUUUUAACGGUGUUGUCUGAGCUACAAGCAACGAAUCAAAACUUUCAACAACGGAUCUCUUGGUUCUGGCAUCGAUGAAGAACGCAGCGAAAUGCGAUAAGUAGUGUGAAUUGCAGAAUUCAGUGAAUCAUCGAAUCUUUGAACGCACAUUGCGCCCCUUGGUAUCCCGAGGGGCAUGCCUGUUCGAGCGUCAUUUCACCACUCAAGCCUGGCUUGGUGUUGGGCGACGUCCCCUUUGGGGACGCGCCUCGAAACGCUCGGCGGCGUGGCACCGGCUUUAAGCGUAGCAGAAUCUUUCGCUUCAAAAGUCGGGGCCCCGUCUGCCGGAAGACCUACUCGCAAGGUUGACCUCGGAUCAGG
rnacentral:rRNA from 1 species